rnacentral:rRNA from 1 species
GAUGAACGCUGGCGGCGUGCCUAAUACAUGCAAGUCGAGCGAACAGAUAAGGAGCUUGCUCCUUUGACGUUAGCGGCGGACGGGUGAGUAACACGUGGAUAACCUACCUAUAAGACUGGGAUAACUUCGGGAAACCGGAGCUAAUACCGGAUAACAUAUUGAACCGCAUGGUUCAAUAGUGAAAGGCGGCUUUGCUGUCACUUAUAGAUGGAUCCGCGCCGUAUUAGCUAGUUGGUAAGGUAACGGCUUACCAAGGCAACGAUACGUAGCCGACCUGAGAGGGUGAUCGGCCACACUGGGACUGAGACACGGUCCAGACUCCUACGGGAGGCAGCAGUAGGGAAUUUUCCGCAAUGGGCGAAAGCCUGACGGAGCAACGCCGCGUGAGGGAUGAAGGUCUUCGGAUCGUAAAACUCUGUUAUCAGGGAAGAACAAAUGUGGAAGUAACUGUGCACAUCUUGACGGUACCUUAUCAGAAAGCCACGGCUAACUACGUG